GCCCGAUUAGCUCAGCUGGUUAGAGCGUCGUACUAAUAUCUUGUCUUCUGAGAUAUCAAGUCCAUGCGAAGGUCAACAGUUCAAUCCUGUUAUUGGGCA
rnacentral:tRNA from 2 species